rnacentral:rRNA from 1 species
CCUACGGGGGGCUGCAGUGGGGAAUAUUGCACAAUGGGCGCAAGCCUGAUGCAGCCAUGCCGCGUGUGUGAAGAAGGCCUUCGGGUUGUAAAGCACUUUCAGCGGGGAGGAAGGCGGUGAGGUUAAUAACCUCAUCGAUUGACGUUACCCGCAGAAGAAGCACCGGCUACUCCGUGCCAGCAGCCGCGGUAAUACGGAGGGUGCAAGCGUUAAUCGGAAUUACUGGGCGUAAAGCGCACGCAGGCGGUCUGUCAAGUCGGAUGUGAAAUCCCCGGGCUCAACCUGGGAACUGCAUUCGAAACUGGCAGGCUAGAGUCUUGUAGAGGGGGGUAGAAUUCCAGGUGUAGCGGUGUAAUGCGUAGAGAUCUGGAGGAAUACCGGUGGCGAAGGCGGCCCCCUGGACAAAGACUGACGCUCAGGUGCGAAAGCGUGGGGAGCAAACAGGAUUAGAUACCCGAGUAGUC